GUUUCUAUAGCUUAACCUGGUUAAAGCAAUAAAUUGAAGCUUUAUUGAUAAAAGUUCAAAUCUUUUUGGAAACA
rfam:Pichia kudriavzevii strain SD108 scaffold00057, whole genome shotgun sequence.